rnacentral:lncRNA from 1 species
UCAUCUCAACGGGAUGCGGCUUUUCUUUUUGCCGAUCGGGGCCGUUGGGGAGGUUUAUAUAAACCCUCCCCUGGCCCUCUGUCCCCUUCUUAUUGCCUUCUUCUUCCAGCUUUUCUUCCUCCAGCCUUUCACAGUCCGAAGUUCUUUUCUCCGGCGUCUUCCUCAGGUCCCCCUUUUUCUUUUUAAUCUCUCUCUCUCGCAAUGGGUUCUCUUCCCAGUGAAGUCGUGUCUACCAUGAGCGUCCUGGAGGUCGAAAUGACCGAAGAGUGGUUUUUCCCUCUUCACGG